rnacentral:lncRNA from 1 species
GGACACUAUACAGAUGUAGACUGACAGUUUACUGGUCACCUGCACUAACAGCCUGAGAGAAAAGGACACUGCAUAUCACAGAGAGAUGCAUAGAUGUUACACUCAGAAAGAGAGUGAACAACUAGAAGAUGUGGAAGAAAAUUCCAAGGGCCAAUUUUGAAACAAACCAGGCAGAGACCCAGAUGCAGAAUCCUGCAGGCUGAGGGAUGUUAGGAAGAGUUAGCCCACCACUGCUGCGCUGAAACCAGGAUGACGCAAACUGGGCCUCAGGCCAGGUGUAUUCCUUGGAGUAUAACUGAAGGUUUACUUGGUAAUUCUAUGUUUAACUUUUUUUGGAACUUCUGGACUAUCUUCCAAAGCAACAGUACCAUUGUACAUUUUCACCAGCCACGUAUGACAGUCACACUCUCUCCACAUUCUUGCCAAAACUUGUUAUCAUUUUUCAAAU